AUUCUGCAGAUAUAACUUGAUGACCCUGGAUGCAAAGGUAUUUUCUAGCUCCUUGAUUUUUAAUUUUAUUCAAACAAAUUGAAAGCCAGCUGUCAUUUGAUUACUCUUUGGCUAGAUCUUUAGUUUUGUCUACCAAAGGCUACUGAAAUUAGAAAUAAUAAUAAUAGUAUUUUGUACUGAAACGUGAAUGUGUUGUGAACGUGAUAAAUAUUUUAAAAAUAUUUAGUUGAAUCCUCUCAAACAAACCUAAAAAAUGGUAACAUUAUUAUGAUCAGUAUUCACAGAUGAGGGAAACUGAGGCUCAGAGAAAUAAAGUAAUGUGCCUGUCGUAAGUGACUGUCGUAGUUCGUUCAGGCUGCUGUAACAAAAUACCGUAGACUGAGUAAUUUAUAAACAACAUAAAUUUAUUUCUCACAGUUCUAGAGACUGGGAAGUCCAAGAUCAAAGUGCCAGCAGAUUCGAUGUGUGGCGAGAACUCUCUGCUUCAUAAAUGAUGCCUUGUUGCUGUGUCCUUACGUGAUGGAAGAGGCAAGGGGCCUCUCAGUCUCUUUUAUCAGAACGUUAGUCCCAUGUCUGAGGGUGGAGCCCUCAUGACCAUAUCACCUCCCAAAGGCCCCACCUCUUAAUACCAUCACUCUGGGGGUUAGGUUUCAAGAUAUGUACUUUAGUGGGACACACACAUUCAGUCCAUAGCAGUGGUACAGUUGGGAGUCAGGUUCAGAUAUGUCAACUUUGAGAACUUCAUUCUUUGAGAGCCUAUUUGAUUUUUUUUUUUUAAUGAGAUGGAGUCUCUCACUGUCGCCCGGGCUGGAGUGCAAUGGCACCAUCUCGGCUCACUGCAACCUCUGCCUCCUGGGUUCAAACGAUUCUCCUGCCUCAGCCUCCCAAGUAGCUGGGAUUACAGGCACCCACUACCACACCAGGCUAAUUUUUUGUAUUUUUAGUAGAGAUGGGAUUUCAUUAUGUUGGCCAGGCUGGUCUCAAACUCUUGACCUCAUGAUCCACCCACUUGAACCUCCCAAAGUGCUGGGAUUACAGAUGUGAGCCCCCGCGCCCAGCCUAUUUGAUUCUUAAAUACCAUCCUCUCUACUGAUUUACAUGAAGGUAGAAUAUUUUUGCAUCCCAAAGAAUUAGCCUGUGUGCUAAUCCCUUAUUGGGGAAUGAAUGUAGAGCAGGAAUGAGAGGAA
rnacentral:lncRNA from 1 species